rnacentral:rRNA from 1 species
UACGUAGGGCGCAAGCGUUAUCCGGAAUUAUUGGGCGUAAAGAGCUCGUAGGCGGUUUGUCGCGUCUGCCGUGAAAGUCCGGGGCUCAACUCCGGAUCUGCGGUGGGUACGGGCAGACUAGAGUGAUGUAGGGGAGACUGGAAUUCCUGGUGUAGCGGUGAACUGCGCAGAUAUCAGGAGGAACACCGAUGGCGAAGGCAGGUCUCUGGGCAUUAACUGACGCUGAGGAGCGAAAGCAUGGGGAGCGAACAGG